UCCAUCCCCUUCUCUCCUGGCCUCAGAGCCUGGAUUUUCCCCUUCUAAAAGAAAUCAGCCUACGGAAAUAAGAGCCAGCAUCCUCCCACCUGGAGGUAUCCCCCCUUCAGUGCAGGCAGAACCGGCGACUUGCUUCUAAUCAACAAAAUACGGCAAAGACUCUUAAACUCUGAUACAUGUAUUUCCUGAGUGGGAGAUUUGGAGAAUGUACAUAUGACUCUCUACUUCUGAGCUGUCACCAUGAUGAAUUGAAUGUGCCCA